GCGGGAGUAGCUCAGUUGGUAGAGCAUCUGCUUCCCAAGCAGAGGGUCGCGAGUUCGAGUCUCGUCUCCCGCUCCA
rnacentral:tRNA from 1 species